UACGUAGGGUGCGAGCGUUAAUCGGAAUUACUGGGCGUAAAGCGUGCGCAGGCGGUUCGUUAAGACAGAUGCGAAAUCCCCGGGCUUAACCUGGGAACUGCAUUUGUGACUGGCGAGCUAGAGUAUGGCAGAGGGGGGUAGAAUUCCACGUGUAGCAGUGAAAUGCGUAGAGAUGUGGAGGAAUACCGAUGGCGAAGGCAGCCCCCUGGGCCAAUACUGACGCUCAUGCACGAAAGCGUGGGGAGCAAACAGG
rnacentral:rRNA from 1 species